rnacentral:rRNA from 1 species
CUUGGUCAUUUAGAGGAAGUAAAAGUCGUAACAAGGUUUCCGUAGGUGAACCUGCGGAAGGAUCAUUACAGAAUAAACUUGAUGGGUUGUAGCUGGCCUUCCGAGGCAUGUGCACGCCCUGCUCAUCCACUCUACACCUGUGCACUUACUGUGGGUAUCAGAUCGUGAAGCGUGCUCUUUUACCGGAGCUUGUGAAGCGUGUCUGUGCCUGCGUUUAUCACAAACACUAUAAAGUAUCAGAAUGUGUAUUACGAUGUAACGCAUCUAUAUACAACUUUCAGCAACGGAUCUCUUGGCUCUCGCAUCGAUGAAGAACGCAGCGAAAUGCGAUAAGUAAUGUGAAUUGCAGAAUUCAGUGAAUCAUCGAAUCUUUGAACGCACCUUGCGCUCCUUGGUAUUCCGAGGAGCAUGCCUGUUUGAGUGUCAUUUCAACCCUCAAGCCCCAGCGGCUUGGUGUUGGGGACCGGCCCCGGCCGCCCCCCAAAUGCAGUGGCGACCUCGCCGCAGCCUCCCCUGCGUAGUAGCACAACCUCGCACCGGAGCGCGGAGACGGUCACGCCGUAAAACGCCCAACUUCUUAGAGUUGACCUCGGAUCAGGUAGGAAUACCCGCUGAACUUAGGCAUAUCAAUAAGCGGAGGA